UUCACGGAUUCAAUAAAUUUUGUAUUGCCUGCCUACUCUGUGCCGAGGAACUAGAGUUGUAUAACACAUAGUUUAGAAUGUAUGAUAAACAUUUUUCAGCUGCUGCGGCAGUGUGGAACAGAAGCAACUUGAUUGCCAAGCCAUGGAAAGACUCACAGAAGUUUGAUACCAUAGAUUUUCAGUUUUGUAACUCUCUGCAUUUUUUUUCCAACAGUAUGUGCCAAGCUGAGGAGCCAGAGAAGAGAAAAUAGAUUCAGGCAGUUCCUAAAAGUGGUCUCUGCAAAUCCUGAGGGGACCUGCAGGUCUCACAGAUUGGGUUCCGCUUAAAGAAGACUGUGAGAUAACGGUUUGUGCAGGAUUUGAGGAGUGCUCCCAGGAUCAACAUCUGUGAGGAAAUAAAGGGAGCAAGACUGGGAAGAGGAUGAAGUCGGGCUGCAAGGAUACAAUCUCAUGCAGGAAAGGAAAAUUCACUGGAUAAGGUCUUCUACAACUCCCUUAUUCUACAGACGUCAAGGCCCCAGAAGAUGAACCCAGCCAUCGCAUAAGAUUUUCUACUUUAACACAGAACAAGGCCUUACAUGCAAUGGAACAUCAGAAGUGGAACUCCAACUCUUAAAUAUCAGACAGAGGGAAGAGAACUUUGGAACAGAAGAUGUUUCUAGGGCUCUUAAAAUCACCAUAGGUCAGCCCCGAGAAUAGGAAAAGGCAAUGAAAGGAAAUGACAAAUCACUCCCCAGGGAACCUGGGAAAGGGGAGAAAGGGAAGGUAGGUUUGCAGGUAAUUAGGGAAGAGAAGCCUAGCCUUUCAAGCAGAAGCUGCUCUAAUGAGCCAUCCCCAGCUCUGCAGCUUGUCCUCUUCAGUUCUUCACAAUGACAACUUCUACAUGUCUCCAGGGGUCACACCUCCAGCUUGAGAGACACUGACCAAAGCAAAGGACCUGUGGCAGGGAGGAAACCAGCCCUGAUUUAGAGCUGUGCUUCUAGACUUUAAACUUUAAAAGCAUUCAAUACACUUCACCUGGGAAUUCUGAUGUAGUAGGUCUAGGAUGGGGCCUGAGAGUCUGUAUUUCUUACAAGCUCCCAGGGAAUUCUCUUGACACUGCUCUGUGGGUCACAUUUUGAGUAGUUAGGACCUAGUACAUGAGGACAGAGUUCAGCUGGAGUUUGAACUCAAGUCUCCCAUUUCCUAGGCAAGUAAGCCACAUGCUCUCACCUAAGGCACAUUUCCUACAUGUGAGAGUUGUAUUAAAAUAAAACUUAGGGAGCUUCUAAUCAAAACAUGACGUUUGUUAUUUUUGGCACAGGGA